GGACUACCGGGGUAUCUAAUCCCGUUUGCUCCCCACGCUUUCGCGCAUCAGCGUCAGUACCGGUCCAGAGGGCCGCCUUCGCCACCGGUGUUCCUCCCAAUAUCUACGCAUUUCACCGCUACACUGGGAAUUCCACCCUCCUCUCCCGGACUCCAGCCUCGCAGUUUCUUCCGCACGUCCUCAGUUGAGCCGAGGGAUUUCACGGAAGACACGCAAGGCCGCCUACGCGCCCUUUACGCCCAAUAAUUCCGAAUAACGCUGGCCCCCUCUGUAUUACCGCGGCGGCUGGCAC
rnacentral:rRNA from 1 species